CGGGUGGUAAUGCCGGAUGCUCCAGCUGAUCGCAUGGUCUGCUGGGAAAGCCUUUGCGGCAUGGGAUGGGGUCGCGUCCUAUCAGCUUGAUGGCGGGGUAACGGCCCACCAUGGCUUCGACGGGUAGCCGGCCUGAGAGGGCGACCGGCCACAUUGGGACUGAGAUACGGCCCAGACUCCUACGGGAGGCAGCAGUGGGGAAUAUUGCACAAUGGGCGCAAGCCUGAUGCAGCGACGCCGCGUGAGGGAUGGAGGCCUUCGGGUUGUAAACCUCUUUUGUUAGGGAGCAAGGCAUUUUGUGUUGAGUGUACCUUUCGAAUAAGCACCGGCUAACUACGUGCCAGCAGCCGCGGUAAUACGUAGGGUGCAAGCGUUAUCCGGAAUUAUUGGGCGUAAAGGGCUCGUAGGCGGUUCGUCGCGUCCGGUGUGAAAGUCCAUCGCUUAACGGUGGAUCCGCGCCGGGUACGGGCGGGCUUGAGUGCGGUAGGGGAGACUGGAAUUCCCGGUGUAACGGUGGAAUGUGUAGAUAUCGGAAAA
rnacentral:rRNA from 1 species